rnacentral:rRNA from 1 species
AGUGAACGCUGGCGGUAGGCCUAACACAUGCCAGUCGAACGGCAGCACAGUAAGAGCUUGCUCUUACGGGUGGCGAGUGGCGGACGGGUGAGGAAUACAUCGGAAUCUACUUUUUCGUGGGGGAUAACGUAGGGAAACUUACGCUAAUACCGCAUACGACCUACGGGUGAAAGCAGGGGAUCUUCGGACCUUGCGCGAUUGAAUGAGCCGAUGUCGGAUUAGCUAGUUGGCGGGGUAAAGGCCCACCAAGGCGACGAUCCGUAGCUGGUCUGAGAGGAUGAUCAGCCACACUGGAACUGAGACACGGUCCAGACUCCUACGGGAGGCAGCAGUGGGGAAUAUUGGACAAUGGGCGCAAGCCUGAUCCAGCCAUACCGCGUGGGUGAAGAAGGCCUUCGGGUUGUAAAGCCCUUUUGUUGGGAAAGAAAAGCAGCAGGUUAAUACCCCGCUGUUCUGACGGUACCCAAAGAAUAAGCACCGGCGAACUGCGU